CCUACGGGGUGCUGCAGUGAGGAAUAUUGGUCAAUGGACGCAAGUCUGAACCAGCCAUGCCGCGUGCAGGAAGACGGUUCUAUGAGUUGUAAACUGCUUUUGUACGAGGGUAAAUCCCGAUACGUGUAUCGGGUUGAAAGUACCGUACGAAUAAGGAUCGGCUAACUCCGUGCCAGCAGCUGCGGUACUAUGGAGGAGUCAAGCGUUAUCCGGAUUGAUUGGGUUUAAAGGGUGCGUAGGCGGUUCGAUAAGUUAGAGGUGAAAUCCCGGGGCUCAACUCCGGCACUGCCUCUGAUACUGGCGAGCUAGAGUGUAGUUGCGGUAGGCGGAAUGUAUGGUGUAGCAGUGAAAUGCAUAGAGAUCAUACAGAACACCGAUUGCGAAGGCAGCUAACCAAACUACGACUGACGUUGAGGCACGAAAGCGUGGGGAGCAAACAGGAUUAGAUACCCGGGUAGUC
rnacentral:rRNA from 1 species